CUGCUGUUUAAUACUCCUACAACCUCCCCUUUCGAGGAUAAGGAAACUGAGAAUUUUUCCAAAAGUGUUUUAUGAGAUUGGAGAACAAAUUGGGAGGGAACUUAGAACAUUCCUCUAUACAGAAUAUUUCCAGAUAUUUGAAAUCCUUUGUCUGUGCCUAUGGAUUUCCCUCUUCAAUUCACACCACAGGUUUUCAAUGAGGUUCAAGUCCAGAGACUGAGAUGGCCAUUGCAAAAUGAUGAUUUUGUGGUCAAUUAACCAUGGAUUUUUAUGUGUGCUAGAGGUUAUUGUGUUGAUGGAAGAUCCACUUGCUGGCAAGUUUCAGCAACUAGGUUUUUGGCUGAAAUGUCAUGAUAUUUGGUAAGAGAUCCCCAGGACCAGUGAAAGCAAAAUAGUCCCAUAACAUCAAAAAUCCACCACCAUUAUUUUACAGUAGAGAUUAGGUAUUUUUUGCAUAUACAUUAUUCUUUCUAUGGCCAAACCCACCACUGUUGUGCGUUUCCUCAUUUGCCUAUUUAUAUAGUACAUCAAGGACUACCGUCUAGGACAGUGGUCACCAACCGGUCGAUCCCGAUCUCCAAGAAAUUACUAAUCGAUCGCCUUGCGUUCCUGUUUUUGUUUGUUUUAUUAGUUUCACGCGGUUUGUAGUAGGUGCACUUAAUUCAGGUGCCCUCGCGCCGGGAAGUCGACGUAUUCCCUUUUUGAACCAUUUCAUGUGUCUGAAGGUACAAACUCCGCCUACUCAGCGACCCCAAUCAAGUGCACAUAUAUCGGCCAACAGCAGGCCAUUCAGAACUCGGAUCACCGUGCAUCUUCCAUGAGACGAUAGAGAAGCCUGAGCAGCGUUUCUUUCUGGUUCUGACGAGAAAAAUAUAAUACUGUCUGGGGAGGUUCUCUUCUGCACAACUAAUCCAGUAAAUGUGGAGGAGGAUUUAAAAUGCGGUGUUGCCUUGUGAACAUCCAAAAGCAGAAGUUGCGUCUUAUUUGUAGCACUGGUGCUCCUAACUUCAAAAAGGUCCAGCAACCUAAGUCUUCCCUGCUUUCAUUACUCCACACUUUCGUCAGUACUCACAAAACGCGCUUCUCCCUAUCCUCCCAUGAAUUGGUGGAUGAGGCAGAAAGAAUGAAGUGAGACUCGAGUUACGCCAUCGGCUGGAAGACGGCCCAGAGGAUGUGGAUAGAGUGGCCCUACAGGGGUUGACCCUGAACCAGACUCCCUGCCCUCCCCACCCCCAGACAGCAACCGACUACAGCCCUGCGACCCACCACCAAGCCCCCGUCAAAUGGGUUCGCCACAUCAUCCGCAGCGUGGAGGAGCAGUUUGUCGACGCAGAGGAUUGAGGUCCGGUGUGUCCUGAUACACUUUUUAUUAGUUAACUCUUUAAUCGUAAGCUCUUAGGAAUGAUAUUUUAGUUGGUUUCUCAGGUGUCAGGGUUAGGGUUAGUAUUACUUGUUCCUUGGUUUGUUAAUGAAUUAGGAUGUCAUAUUUGUAGCCUCGUUGACAGUUGGGUUACAUGUUAACAAUUCAUUAUUUUUUUUGUGAAUCAUUUCAAUAGAUGUGUAGUCUAACUCUUAACUAAAAGAGAAAUUGUAGUUUUUAUCUUAUUUUUUAAAUACUUUUGUUUUAAAAGCAAUCACCUGAUAUAGGCCCAUGUGUUCAAGUGUCACUCCCUUUAAAAUCAUAUGUGUUAAAAUGGAGAGGGCACAGUGCAAGAAUAAGUAUGUUUGGAUAUAUUCUCAAAUGGAUUUUCCUGAUUGAUUCUGAGCCCAUGGAGAGCAAGAGGUCAGGUUGCCAUGACUACAGCACCCUGUAAGACACCACCCACUGGGCACAGAUGUCAAUUCAACGUCUAUUCCAAGUUGGUUCAAUGUAAUUUCAUUGAAAUGGUGUGGAAACAAUGUUGAUUCAACCAGUGUGCGCUCAGUGGAAAUGAAAUUCAGCUUUUGAGAUCCAAGAUAUCUUUAAUGCAAAUAAACCAUGCAUUUUAACAACAAAACUCUACACUGAUGCAUCAUUCCCACAGUGUUUUGGUUGUAGUGGUAGUAGUUCAGAAGAGAAAAUUGUAGCAUUAGAUGCCCACUAGGUGGCAGUGUUGGUUAAAUAUUACAUUUACCUCCAUUGCGCUGAAUUCUUUCCAUGCAGCUCUGGGUUUAUAUAGUGAGUUCAUUCAGUUCAUAGGCCCUGUUCAAAUACAAAAAAAAAUGCAUCCAUCCUCCCUUCCUUCCUACCUUUCUUGAAAGUAAAUCACAGAUCUGAAUUGGUGAAAACAAGAAGGAGCUAACUUUGCUGUGGGCCCGGUUUCCCUAAACCAUCUUAAGGUUAAGUUCAUCGUUAGUACCUUCGUAGGAGCAUCUUUAAAUAUCUGAGCUGUUCACCACAACUCUUGUUAUUAACGUUGCAUUUGAAAACGCUUGUAAUCGUAACGCCUGCCUCAGACCACUCAUAAAACACUUAAAUGUAUUGUUAGUGUGGAGCCCAAACUGUUCGGACGCUACAGACAGAAGUUGGCUGAUAGGCUCUACCGACUUCAGACGAGUCCCAAUACGCUUGUGGGGGUCGUAGAGCAAAACGAAGGACACCGUCGUGUUCGUGAGAGUCAUCUUUCCACAUGGGGCUCAUAACAGUCUGUAGGCCAAACCGUUCAGACACUACAGACGGGAUUUUCGGGAUGUCCCAUGGCCUGACACACAGCUCUUAGCUCUGGCACCUUGGAUUGAGAAGCAUCCAAUACAACAAAAAAAACAUCACUAGUUUAAACUGACAGAUUUUGAUGGGGAUUUUGUUAUUAUGCUAACGUGCGUAACGAUGUGACAAAUCUGUGUAUUUUUUAAAUACAUUUUUUUCCUAUUUAUUGGGUAAGCAUUGGAAUAAGCCGCCUCAAUAUUGCAGCCGCAGUUGGUAAUAUCUCUAGGAGCUGAGCCGUCGUCAGCAUUGUGAAAUAAUUAUAAUGUCAAGGUAAGAUUUUAAUGGAGAAAGCUGAUCCGAGAGCAGGGCUCCCUUUCUUUCGAUCCAAUCAGUAACGAUGCAUGCGCCAACGACGCACUUAGAACGUUCUCUUUGCGUGUUGUUUUGGGAAAAGCACGUUACGCAUGUUACGUCUUCGGCCGUUUUUUGUAAGAAAGAUGCAUCGUUAAAACACUUCUAAGCCUAAAUUAUAUUGCUAUCGUGGAAACCGGGUCCAGACCUAUCCAAUAGCAAACCGGGUCCAGCCCUAACCCAUUUCUAAUAAAUCUGUCUUUUACCUCAAGGAAAUAAGGAAGGAAGGACGCAUUUCUAAAGUAAGAGUACAAGGCCCACACGUUCACUUGCCAAUUUACAUUACUUUCCCAAGCAUCAUGCACAAAGACGGUUCUUUUGAUGAGCUAACAAUUCAAUUAUUUAUUGUAACCAAUCUGAUUCAUGUGAUCUAUCAUGACUUAGUGGUGUGCAUUGUCCUCAGAUACUAGGUGUUAGAAGAUAAAGGGGUGAUAAAAUGCUUUGGAAUUCUCUACUCCAUGCCAGUAGCUGCUGUAGAUUAAUUUAUAACGAGGCUCCUCCGUCUUUUUAAAGUCAAUUAUUUAUGAUAGGAUCAAUCGCCAUCAAAGCAGACCACUUGCGUUUUGAUGUGCUUCUAUAAUCAUCUGUGAGAACUUUGUUGCUCCAAGGGGCCGUGUCAGACAGUCUGUGUGAUGCUGCACUGAAGGUCAGUUCAUCAACUGCUAUAUAAAGAGCAUAAAGUGUAAAAGGUUUUCAAUACCUUAUGGGAACAUAGCUUUAAAGGAGUUAAUUAAGCAUGAAAAGGACAUUUUCCCCUGGUAGGCUCAAUCCAGGUCUGUGCAAGCACCCCCAUAGACUAGAUCUGGUCUGCUUUCUGUGCGUUGUAUUAACAGUAGUGAAUGCAUUGUUGAGACGCAUGUCUACUGUCAGAUGUUAGUUCCAAUCAUGUGGAGAAUGAUUAAUGCCCCUCUGUCCCAGAAGACAUCUACCACAUCUUACAUUGUGAAGGAGUUUCCAAUGGUGGGUGGUUGAUGAAUCCUAGCCACAGAUCUAGGAUCAGUUUAUCCUUCCAAAUCCUUUUCUUGACCAUUUAUGACAGGAAAACACAAAACAGACCCCAGAUCAGCUUCUAGUAACAACCUACUCCUACUCAUCUGGAUCAGACUCCGGCAGAUCCAUAUUUCUCCUCUGACUCAGCAGCCAUUGCUUUGUGAUCUCCAUCCAAAGUGUCCAGUCAUUUAGUCCGGUAAGUAAUCUGGUUAUAACCACAGAUCUAGGAUUAGUUUACCCACCCCAAACCCAAUCCAUAACUAGUAGGAGUGGAAAACUUAAAGACUGAGAUCAGUGACUAGGUAGGCGCAACAUAACCAGCACCAGCUCCACAUCAUUUCCACUGUGACUCAGCAGCCAUAGCCAUGUGAUCUCCCUGGUGGUUGAUCUGGUAUUAAUAGCCACGUUUAGGCUGUAGCACAGAACAGGAAGAGGCUGUUGUUAGCUAGCUGCAACCAGAGCUGACCAGAACAGACCUACAGCAAACUGCUCCUUCUGUACGCUUAUAGCUUAGACACAAAACACCUCUGAACAAAAUGUCGGCAGUCAAUCUCUUUUGUGUUCACACAGCAAAGACCUUGAAGUCGUCAACCACUCAGCCUUGUUAAAAUACUCCAAACCUGGAGGUGGCAGUAGCGUUGUUUGGCAAUGCUUGUCGGUGUGUGUUGCUUAGUUUAUGGUCUAGAUUCCCAAUAUUGGUUAUCUAGCUAGAUUGUUGUAGAAAGCCCUUGUUGAUACUAGCCAGAUGGCCACAGCUAGAUGACUACCUAGA
rnacentral:lncRNA from 1 species